CACAGCUCCAGGACACGUGGACACAAAGGGGAAAGAGCCCAUGAGAGUGUUCCCUGUGCCAUUCCAAUCACAUGGCUCAGGCACUUUCUGAGCGUGAUGAAGGAUGCUACCUGAGAGGCUGAUCCUCAUGAUGAACGGAAGGCAAGCUGGAUAGAAAAGGAUGUUACUAUAUAAGAAAUAAGGAAACAUUCACACAGUCUUUCGUUUUCGUUAGGUGCUCUUUCCACUGAGUUUGCCAGAGUGUCUGGAACAAGUGGAAUUUUACUAAGUUUUAAAUAUCUUCAUUUUGAGCUCUCAUUAUGAAGAAAUACUCCAUCCACCAUGUAUAAGGACUUUCAGCAAAUGAGAUGUUUAAAUGGUGUGAGUGUGAAAAUGAAUAGGCCAGCACAGUUUAGAAAUGGGUGGUAGAUGAAAAUACACAUUUAGCUUUGCUGUUUAUAGUUAAAAGCAGCAUUUCUUUAAAAAGACUUUCUCAUUGAUCCACUUUGAGCAACAGAACUUAAUUGUUGUUGUGACUCAUCUCCCUAAAGGUAUUCUACAGUGUUCUCCUUCCCAGACUUAAAUCAUAAUUUUGCAUUUAAAAAAUUAUGUGUAAUGAAAAGACCAGCCUACUUAAAUGUGCUUGGAAUUCUUUCAUGCUAGACUGGGCCCCCUUUUAAACAUUUUCCAAUUUGCCAAAUGAGGAGAACUCCAGAUGUACUUUGAUAAAAAUAUGAAGUGGUUAGUUAUUUAACCUGAUUGACAGAUGGCGUGCUGUGACUGAGGACCGAUUAUGUGCUACGGACCCUUCAGAGUGAGGGCAAAGAGCUUUCUUUUUGUGCUUUUUUUUUCUUCUCUUUUUCUUUUUGAGGUG